UGCCUUGCGUUCUAGUGGAC
rnacentral:piRNA from 1 species